AUUGAACGCUGGCGGCAUGCCUUACACAUGCAAGUCGAACGGCAGCACGGGAGCAAUCCUGGUGGCGAGUGGCGAACGGGUGAGUAAAGUAUCGGAACGUGCCCAGUCGUGGGGGAUAACGUAGCGAAAGUUACGCUAAUACCGCAUACGAUCUAUGGAUGAAAGCGGGGGAUCGCAAGACCUGGCGCGAUUGGAGCGGCCGAGAUCAGAUUAGGUAGUUGGUGGGGUAAAGGCUCACCAAGCCGACGAUCUGUAGCUGGUCUGAGAGGACGACCAGCCACACUGGGACUGAGACACGGCACAGACUCCUACGGGAGGCAGCAGUGGGGAAUUUUGGACAAUGGGCGAAAGCCUGAUCCAGCCAUGCCGCGUGCAGGAUGAAGGCCUUCGGGUUGUAAACUGCUUUUGUACGGAACGAAAAGGUUUGGGCUAAUAAGCUGAGCUCAUGACGGUACCGUAAGAAUAAGCACCGGCUAACUACGUGCCAGCAGCCGCCGUAA
rnacentral:rRNA from 1 species